rnacentral:rRNA from 1 species
UACAGUGAUGGGGCAAGCGUUGUCCGGAUUUAUUGGGCGUAAAGAGCGUGUAGGCGGCUAGAUAGGUCCGUUGUGAAAACUCGAGGCUCAACCUCGAGACGUCGAUGGAAACCAUCUGGCUAGAGUCCGGAAGAGGAGAGUGGAAUUCCUGGUGUAGCGGUGAAAUGCGCAGAUAUCAGGAAGAACACCCGUGGCGAAGGCGGCUCUCUGGUACGUGACUGACGCUGAGACGCGAAAGCGUGGGGAGCAAACAGG